rnacentral:rRNA from 1 species
GGACGAACGCUGGCGGCGUGCUUAACACAUGCAAGUCGAGCGGAAAGGCCCUUCGGGGUACUCGAGCGGCGAACGGGUGAGUAACACGUGAGCAACCUGCCCCAAGCUUUGGGAUAACCCCGGGAAACCGGGGCUAAUACCGGAUAUUACUUGGCCUUGCAUGAGGUUGGGUGGAAAGUUUUUCGGCUUGGGAUGGGCUCGCGGCCUAUCAGCUUGUUGGUGGGGUAAUGGCCUACCAAGGCGACGACGGGUAGCCGGCCUGAGAGGGCGACCGGCCACACUGGGACUGAGACACGGCCCAGACUCCUACGGGAGGCAGCAGUGGGGAAUAUUGCACAAUGGGCGGAAGCCUGAUGCAGCGACGCCGCGUGAGGGAUGACGGCCUUCGGGUUGUAAACCUCUUUCAGCAGGGACGAAGCGUAAGUGACGGUAC